rnacentral:tRNA from 1 species
GGGCCUAUAGCUCAGUUGGUUAGAGCAGGGGACUCAUAAUCCCUUGGUCGUAGGUUCU